GUCUAGUUUUGUAUAGUACUGAGUACUCUAUGUCUUGUUUUCUCGUGCAAGCAUUCUAUAUCGGAUCACAUUUGUAAGGCUGAAAAUUAUAGGAGAUGCCAGUAAAAUAUUACAAGGGAAUUGGGAAACUAUUAUUAUUAUUAUUAUUAUUAUUAUUAUUAUUAUUGUUGUUGUUGUUGUUGUUGUUGUUGUUGUUAUUAUUAUUAUUUUCCUUUUAAAUCAAAGCAAACCAAACUCCCUAUAGUCUAAAACAACAUUGGA
rnacentral:lncRNA from 1 species